GGCUGGCUUCUCAGAGAACAGUGUAGCAGUGUAGUUGGGAGGAGUUCCGGGAGGAACCGUUCCCUUGUUAGUUCUCCUAGCCCCUGCUGAAGCUCCAGAGCCCAGCCCUGUCUUUGCUCCCUUUUUCGGGUUCUGCCUUUCCAUCACAGUGCCCUCUGACCCCUUUCUUCUCGGUUUAGCCCACGGACACCUGACCCUUCACUUCCAUUCCUGCAUUUCCAGGUCACAGCACCGCAACCUACUCCAGCUCACUUCCUCCCAGGCAUCCGGUCAAGUCACAACCUGUAGCCUGUUCUUAAGGCGUAGACAUGAACAAGUGGCUCCCAGUCCAUCUCUGCAUUCAUAAAUUGAAGAGGAUGACAUGUUCCCAAGAGAGCCCCCUGGGAUCCUCAGGAGCCCUCCAUCUUAUGGCUCCCCAAAGGUACCCUGGGAAUUCAGAAGAAAGCAUCAGAUCUCCCUGGAACUGGAAGCACUGAUGGUAUGAGCCACCAUAUGGGUCCUGGGAACCAGCCAAGGUCCUCUGCAAGAACCACACAUGCAAAAGCUGUGGAGCCAUCUCUCCAGCUCCAUCUUUAAUUCUUUUGGCACUGAAAAUCUUUACUCCAAGAAAAUCUCACCUAAACUUCCAUCAAAACCAAUGGGAAAUCAGCAAUCGCAGGGUUUUCCAGAAAUUCUUUGCCACUGUUCCUUGGCAGGAGACUACGGCAUCACAUGGCCAGUGACUGGUGCCUUCUGACUCACGGAAUGGAAAGAAACCACACAGAGAAGCACACAGGGCCUCUGUUGCCAGCCAGGGUGACCACAUGGAACGGGAGGUGAUUCAUCUGAGCCUGCCUGGCAUUGGCACUCGAAUACACUUGCCUGGAGCUGGGCAGUCAGCCCUUAAGUGAUGCGUGGGGUAUCCCCCUCCCAGGGCAGAGCAGCCCCUCCUAGGAGGAAUAAGUGGCUCUCUGCCUCUGUCCCAAGUGGCUGACAGAUGACCAAGGAGGUUGUAGGACAGCUCUGGGGACAGAGGUAAUUAGAUCAAGAAUCAGGGUUGGGGACUUCAGAGAAGAGGUAGACAGGUGGAAGCUGAGUGUGGCUGGGGUCCUUUGCUCCAAAUUCUUCAUCACACCUGGUGUCUCCAACACAGAGGAGACACAGCUCACCAUUCCAGAAGGAAUAUAAUCAGUUGCUCACAUAGUCCUUUUCAAGGCCAAGUGCAGAGGGGGCAGGGCACCAAGGGCAAGCGCAACUCUACGUCAUUCCCCACUGGGCACCAUAUGACAGUCCCAUUUUAUGUAUGAGGAAAUUUUAACCAGAAAUAUAAAGCAGGUUGCCGCAGGUGACUGCCACCAGUGACAACUCUAACCACGUUGUGUGGUCCAGCUCUGCUGUGAGCUGCUGAUGGAUACAACAUCCCAUGCAAGCUCCACAUUUCCCUUCACAUACAUGGUCUGACAUCAUCCUCAGAGCAGCACUGUAGGGAGGAUGUUAGUGUUCACACAAAAUGAGAUCAGAAAGAACAGCAAGGCACAGGGUGUGUGAUGGACAGGGUGUGUGAUGGACAGGGUGUGUGAUGGACAGGGUGUGUGGACAGGGUGUGUGAUGGACAGGGUGUGUGAUGGUUUGUAUAUUCUUGGGCCAGGGAGUGGCACCAUUUGGAGGUGUGGCCUUGUUGGAAUAGGUGUGACCUGGUUGGAGUAGGUGUGUCACUGUGGGUACGGGCUUAAGACUCUCACUCUAGUUGCCUGGAAGUCAGUCUUCCACUAGCAGCCUUUGGAUGAAGAUGUAGAACUCUCAGCUCUGCCUGGACCAUGCCAGCCUGGAUACUGCCCUGCUCCCACCUUGAUGAUGAUGGACUGAACCCCUGAACUUGUAAGCCAGUCCCAAUUAAAUGUUUUUUUAUAAGACUUGCCUUGGUCAU
rnacentral:lncRNA from 1 species